rnacentral:lncRNA from 1 species
CCCGGAGGUUGAGGUGCCUUCAUCAAUCUCCAUUGCCGCACUGGCUCCAUUGUCAGAGGGUCCUGCACUGGCAGGUCCCAGUGAGGUAGGUCUUAGUGAGGCGGGACCGAGUGAGAUGGAUUCGAGUGGUAUUAUUGUAUUUUUUAUAUAACGAAAUUUGAUUCUUUUAUUUGGAUAGCUAUUAUACUAAUGAUUUAUUUAUUAUUUAUUUCAGGUUAGUCUUCAUCGGUAGUGAGGCGAGGGCGAGGUCCAUCGAAG